rnacentral:rRNA from 1 species
AACGUAGGAGACAAACGUUAUCCGGAGUUACUGGGCGUAAAGGGCGUGUAGGCGGUCUGUUAAGUCUGGCGUGAAAGCUCUCGGCUAAACCGGGAGAGGUCGUUGGAGACUGGCAAGACUAGAGGAUGAUAGAGGCGUGUGGAAUUCCGGGUGUAGUGGUGAAAUGCGUAGAGAUCCGGAGGAACACCAGUGGCGAAGGCGACACGCUGGGUCAUAUCUGACGCUCAAGCGCGACAGCAUGGGGAGCAAACGGG